CAUCUCGACCCUUGGGCUGUCCCGUUACAGGGUUUUCUGUAAAAUGUAUGGCUGGUCCGCCGCGUACCCCCAUCAGGAGCACAUUUUCGGGCUUGCAGCUUGAAUGUCCCUGAAGGCAUCUUGAGCAAGGAGGCAAUGGCUGCCACGAUCCCAGGGUUGCGCAUGGAAUAUCAAGACCCUAAAGAAUGAAAUAACUUAACUUGUGGGAGCAUGGAGUCCACUCAAUAGUAGAGCUUCCAAUGUUGACUCUUUUUCCAUUAUGUUGCGCUGUUGACUGUUUUAAGGUACUUAAAAAUAAAAACGAGAGGAAUCAAGAUCUAAGAAUGGCCCUGAAAUGCAGAUAAAACCUUGACAUUCCGCGGAUGGAGAUCACUGGGGGAGGAUCAUCUGGCCAUCUUCAGGGACCCCGUACAUGGCAUAGAUGCCUGGGAGACGAAACAAGACCCUGGGCCGUGAAGACCUUGACCAGCGAGAGACAGCUUGGGGGCAGCUGGGCACGGGGCAGGCCUCACCCCACUGCUGUCGCUGAUGGGCUGCAAUCAGAGUCCGGAAAACAGGAGGUGAGUCCCAUGCACGACCACAUCCACGCAGGGGCUCCAGCAAACGGCACUGUCCCCUCCACUGCCCAACGCCGGGAAGAUUCAGGACUGGACUGAAACCCUACACCUGCCUGGAGUCAGAGCCCCACAAAACGCCAGCCUCGGGUAGUUCACAGACACAGCCUCGGGGAGCCCAGGAGAGAAACCUCCCCGGGCUAUUCCCAUUCCCCCUCUCCGGUCAGAAGAGAAGGCAGUCUCCCCUCUGGAGAUCCUUAGAAGUAGCUGAAAGGCUCAGCUAUGAGGAUGCAUGGGCCCAGUGGAAUGUCUCCUGGGGCCCAGGCCGGUCCUCUGCUCCAGAAGGCAGCUGCGUGGUUUAAACAGGCCAGGUCGCCUCUGCAGGGAAUCCCAAUGGACCAUGAACCGUAUCCUCUCCUCCGCACCAGCGCCCCCACCUCUCAGCUACUGCAAGAACACGGACCUCGCAUUUGUUCUAUUGCAUCCCCUGAGCACAGGCGCUGCUCCGACAGGGUAGCACCCUGGCCAUUCUCCCUGUCCCCCCAGGGAUCUCGUGGGAGCAACACCCAUCAGUGAUGCAGGACUUAGCCUGACUCUUGACGACGUCGCACUGUGUCCUUGCCUGCUAUGUCCUUUCCUCCGGCUGCUUCUGUCAUACUUGGCGAAAGUGUGAUUUCAGCCCUGCUGCCCUAUGAGCAGUCAUCCUAUUGCUCCCCUGCCUUUGACCACAACCUUGUGCCUCCAACUCUCAGCCCUCAGUCUCUUCCUUAACCCCCCUCCAAUUCAGUUUCCAUCCACUCCAAAUAAGCAUAAUUUUCAAAACUGUGUGUCCUGUGCACUAAGGGGGCAGAAUGCCAGGGCCUGGUUUCUAAGAGAUCAAAGGUUUUCUGAUCCACUGGAAAGUGCUCACGCAGACAGGUGUCGAGGCCAUCACGCCACCAGGCAGAGCGUUUCAAGUUAUAGAAAGAGAAAGACAGAUGCAGGUUCCUUAAAAAACUGAAAAUAUGGCACUGUGGCACUGUGGGUUUAAGAAUCUGGCUACAGCAGCUCAGGUCACUGCAGAGGUACAGGUUUCGAUUCCUGGCCUGGUGCCGUGGGUGAGAGGAUCUGGUGUGGCCACAACUGUGGCAUAAGUUGCAGCUGCAGCUCAAUAGUCACAGCUGUGGCUCAGAUUCAAUCCCUGGCCUGGGAACAUCCAUAUGCUACCUUUUCAUUCAGGUCCAGCUGAAUUAAAAAAAAAACAAAACAAAAAA
ensembl:lncRNA